ensembl:snoRNA
ACUGAGGAAUGAUGAUGGUAAAAGGCCGAAUUGCAGUGUCCCCAUCUACAGUUUGCUCUCUGUGUGGGCACACGAUGACAAAAUCUCCUGAAGCGAACAGCAGUCUGACCUCAGU